rnacentral:rRNA from 1 species
GACGAACGCUGGCGGCGUGCUUAACACAUGCAAGUCGAACGCUGAAGCUUGGUGCUUGCACUGGGUGGAUGAGUGGCGAACGGGUGAGUAAUACGUGAGUAACCUGCCCUUGACUCUGGGAUAAGCCUGGGAAACUGGGUCUAAUACUGGAUACGACAUGCCACUGCAUGGUGGUGUGUGGAAAGGGUUUUACUGGUUUUGGAUGGGCUCACGGCCUAUCAGCUUGUUGGUGGGGUAAUGGCCUACCAAGGCGACGACGGGUAGCCGGCCUGAGAGGGUGACCGGCCACACUGGGACUGAGACACGGCCCAGACUCCUACGGGAGGCAGCAGUGGGGAAUAUGGCACAAUGGGCGGAAGCCGGAUGCAGCGACGCCGCGUGAGGGAGGACGGCCUUCGGGUGGUAAACCUCUUUCAGCACGGAAGAAGCGAGAGGGACGGUACGGGCAGAAGAAGCGCCGGAUAAAUACGU